rnacentral:rRNA from 1 species
UAGGGAAUCUUCGGCAAUGGGGGCAACCCUGACCGAGCAACGCCGCGUGGGUGAAGAAGGUUUUCGGAUCGUAAAGCUCUGUUGUAAGUCAAGAACGGGUGUGAGAGUGGAAAGUUCACACUGUGACGGUAGCUUACCAGAAAGGGACGGCUAACUACGUGCCAGCAGCCGCGGUAAUACGUAGGUCCCGAGCGUUGUCCGGAUUUAUUGGGCGUAAAGCGAGCGCAGGCGGUUUGAUAAGUCUGAAGUUAAAGGCUGUGGCUCAACCAUAGUUCGCUUUGGAAACUGUCAAACUUGAGUGCAGAAGGGGAGAGUGGAAUUCCAUGUGUAGCGGUGAAAUGCGUAGAUAUAUGGAGGAACACCGGUGGCGAAAGCGGCUCUCUGGUCUGUAACUGACGCUGAGGCUCGAAAGCGUGGGGAGCGAACAGG